UCUAAUUUAAAGUAUAUAUUGAACUGAAAUCACAAUUUUAUUUUAAGUACACAAUUUUAAUUACUAAAAUUCCAUUCUUCGGACUUUCUGUUCAGCAAAAGUGUUAAUGACAUCAUGAAAGUUCAAAUUUCGGGCCAUAGAAUUUUCGAUGGAUAGAAUAGCCAAAUUGCUUAACCUUUCUUGUCCCAUAGAAUUUCUUAAAUAAGUUUUUAUCAAUUUCAGUUUUGAAAAUGAUCGCUCGGCACUAGCCGUAGUUACAGGAAUGGUGAGAAACAACAGAAAUGCAGUGCACACUUCAGGAAAGCUUGAAGAUAUAAAAUGAUUCUUUAUUAUUAAUAAGUCAGCAAGUUCUCUUAUAGAUGGUGACCUUUCUAUUUCGUGUUUAAAAGAGGAUCGAAAACUGAGAAUUUCUUUGGAAAACGACAUAGAUAUAUCUUUUUUAUAUAAAUGGACAAAUGCUAAAGCCUUUUCCAAUAAAUCAGUAUCGUUCAAGUUUUGCAAAGUGGCAGGCUGCAAGACACUAAAAUUGGAAACAAUUUCAUUCAUUCCAAGCAAACGCGAUCUAAGUUGAUUAAUGAUGAUGUCUAAUACACGAUAGAAUACGUUCACUUUAAACAAGCUUUCAGGAUCUUGGAGACGUUCAUCCUCACAAAUUUCAUCAAAAUGACGUUUCACUUUUCUCUGACGAGCUUCAGGAAAUUCAGGGUUUAUAGACCAUUUAACUGCAAUACUAUUUGCUUCCGUUUUUAAAUCUUCAAAUUCAUGUCGAUACUUUUCAAGUUCUUCUAGACAGACUUGCUUUGAAGCAUUUGAAAGAUCGAUGGCUUUAGAUUGAAGUGCUUUAGAAGCCGCGUCUAUGGUUUGUAAGACUUUGCAAUGGAAAACCAGCAACAUAAUAAAAUUGUAGUUCUCUACCUUCUUCUUUAGCAAGAUAGCUUCAUUUAUCUCAUCUGAUUUGGAAUUUGAUAAAAUGGUUUUUGUUAGCGCUUUUUGAACAUCAACAAAUCGAACAUUUAAAGCAAACAUGGCAUCAAAGCGUCCUGCCCAUCUAGUUGGAUUCAUUGUUUUUAAUGUUACUGAAUUUUAUGAUAAAACGGUUUCUCCUUUUUUGUUGGCAGAUAUAAAACUAGAUAAUAUUUUCCGUCGUCUAAUACUAUGGCCAAAAAAAUUAUAAAUUUGUUGCACAGUUUCGAAUAAUGUUUGUAUUUCUAUGACCUCUUACUGCAUCAUUUACUACCAAGUUUAAAUUAUGAGCAGCACAAUGGACAUACACUGCAUUUGGCUCUAUAUCUCUUAUGAGUUUUUGAACUCCGCCAUAAGUACCUUUCAUGGUAUUGCUCCAUCGUACCCUUGUCCACGGCACUUAUUCAGAGAAAUACUUUUGUCAUUUAUGGAUUUUAUUAUCUGCUUGGACAUUGCUAAGGCAAUUUGAUCCUUAACCUCAUGAAAUCCUAAAAAUGACUCUUUAAUUACGAGCGCCUUUGAAGUUCCAUUUUCAUCUUUCUCGAUUAAGGUUGGUACGCAGCUCUCAAGUAAUUGCUCAAGAAAAAACAUACAUUAUUUCUCAAGUAAUUUUGACAGCUGGUUACGCAUUGUGAUUACACAUUACAUUAGAAGAGCAAGAGAGAAUAAACAAAGAAAACAAACUUUGUGCGUAAUAUGUAUGUGUGUAUGUGUAUGGUAAUAUAAAUAUUUUCAUUGAGAUUUAAGAAAUGUUGUUGAUGAUUGAUAGGUUUUAUACAACAUUUCAAAUUGGAAUAUACAUAUACAUAUACAUAUAUAUACUUCAAAAUAAUGAUUUCAACUAAUUUAGGAUGAAUUUGACGAUUACUUCGAAUUUCCUUCAAGAAACAAUUGUUGAUUUGAUGUUUCUUCGCAAAACCAGGUUUGCCAUAUUCACAUUUUACUGAAAAAAGUAUCAAAAAUUAGUACUAGAUUUCUUGAGAGCUGCGUACUAGCAGAAGUAAAUUUACCGCAGGAAAGUUUCUUGACCGUUUCUUAAGCGUUUAUUUAUAUGAAGUUUUUACGUUUCUUGAGAACUGCGUACUAAGCUUUACACAGUAACGGUAAAGUUCACACAAUUGAUCUGUUUUGGAAAUAUCUUGAGUAGUAUCAAACAAAAUGGAAUAAAACGGUGCAGUGACUAUUUCAUUUACCAGAGCAUUUUCCACUUUUUGAACCAGAACAGCAAUGAACUCAUUUUGUAUUUUUGGACUUAAGUAUUUAAUCUGGCCCUUAGAUUUGUUUAGCAACUCUUGUAAAAUAGGAUCGUAUUUGGCUAAUAACUCAACAAUACUCAAAAAAUUUCCUUUUGGACCAGAAUCGUUGCCAUAUACCGUUUCUUUAUGGCCACGAAAAGCUAAAUUACAGGUUGAAAGUGUCAAAGUAACAUCAAGGAGUAUAGGGAGUACCUGGCGCCAAAAAAAUUUUUCUCUCUUGAUAAUGACUCUUGCUCUUCAUCUAAUGUUCCAUGUAACUGCCCCUCUUGAUGUACAAAACAUGAAUGCAAAAGUUCUUUCUAUGUCUCAUGUCUUUCUAUGGCUUCCACAAUAUGUUUCCAAUCAUCAUAGCCUUCCAUCCAAAUAUUUUGUAUAUUUUUAGAUGCCCUAUUUGCGAAUAACCAACAUGGUUCACAAUAUGCUUUUUGAAGCAAUAGAGAAUAGGACAGCCAUGUACGUUCUAACUUUACGCCAGAUUUAGAAACAGUGUAAUAAUAUUUAUCUAAGAGAGAGCCCUUAAAAAGGGGCCUUUUGGUUUACAGUGUCCGUUUUCGAUCACAAACCGUUUUACUUGAUCAUUGAGUUCUUUAAAGUUACCUUUAUCAGUAACAUGCGGUAAAGAUUUUAAUUUUUCUAUGUCCAAACAUGAUUCAUUUAAAGAUUUGCUCGUACCUGGUUGUGGUUGCUCUGAAUCUAAAUAUUCACUGUUAUGGGGCUCUACGAUAUUGCCACUUAUGUCAUCAUUUUCUGCCUUUCCGUCGCGCUGUUCAUUUGAUUCUUCUUGUAUACUAUCUUGAUUAUUAAAGUACUGACUUAUUUUAGGUAACUUUUUAUUUUGUUCUUUAGACUCCUUCUUUCGCUUCCACUCUGAUACUUUCUAGAACAAAACCGCAAAAAGUUUGUAAUAAUACUAUAGUUUUUAUUUAUUGAAAAAUCUACUUAAUUGCUAACAAAUGCCAAAAAAGCGACCGUAAAAAUGUUUAUAACGAAAGUCCACCGAUUGUUCAAAGUUCAAUUCAAGUGUCAAAAUUUGUAAGUUUUGAAAGAACGAUGAACAUAGGUACCGAAAUAGUUUUGGUGGUUACGAAUGUCAAAAUAGUGAAAUGAUUUUGAAAUGCGCAAUGAGAAUCAUUUAUGGUAUUCAGAGUUUACUUUUAAAGUUAAUAGGUAGCAACUUUAACAAUGUAACACAUUCAAACUGUGAGCAACCCUUCAAACAGCUGAUUCGAACUGUCAAAAAUUGUGUAGCUACAAAAAUAUUGACAUGUAAGCAAUGCCUCGCAGAAGUGGAAAAGAAAAAUUACUAAACGGACUGUGCUUAAAAAACAUGUUGGAAUUGCUGCUCCAAGAUUCAAGUAGGUGCACAUUUCUAUAUUCAUAUAACUUUUGUAAUUUUGCGCAUUGAUUUAGGCAGUGAAGAUGAGGACUGCGAUAUUCUAAUGGACUUUAAUGUUAGUGCAGCAAUAAUUUUGUCCUCAAGAAGAUGCAGCGACGUAAAUGUGCCAAAAUCUACUAAUUGGAUUGACACAAUCCUUCCCAACUUCGAUAACAAUCGUAUGCGGCAAAUGUUAUGACUGGAAACUCCGGAAUUUCAACAUAUUUUAAGCUUAAUCAAAGAAGAUACUGCUUUUAAAAAUAAAAAUUCGGUUCCUCAAAUGCCAGUGGAAUUGCAAUUAAAGAUCGCACUUUUCCGUUUUGGUUCUAGUGGGGAUAGUGCAUCCAUCAGAAAGGUUGCAAACUUGUUUGGAGUUGGAGAUGGAGGAACUGUGAUUACAGUUACAGACCGCAUUAUUUCUGCCAUCGUAAAUUUGAAAUCUAAGUUUUUGUGUUGGCCAACUAGGGAAGAAAGACGCAAACUUUGUCGGAAUCUCCAAUUGAGGAUCAUGAAUUCUAUUUUUCCAGGAAAAACCAGUAUUCCAUGAAAAUGCAAAUAGUGUGCGACUAUUCUUUGAGAAUUCGACAAGCAACAAUUGGAUAUAGGGGCAGUGUACAUGAUACUAAAAUUUUUGCAGAAUCAGCUAUUGGACGAGCACCUGGAAAUUAUUUUUGAGAAAGGCAAUGGAUAGCCGGUGAUUCUGCGUAUCCCUUAAAUAGAAAUAUAAUUAUACCUUUUCGGCAAAAUAGCAACGAACUGUCGCAAUAUAAAAGGGAUAGGUUCAACAAAUACUUUUCUAAAUAUCGAGUACGAGUAGAAAAUUGUUUCGGCAAAUUAAAAGAAAGAUUUAGCAGCUUAAAAGAGCUUCGGUUUCGAUUGUCCAACGAAAAUAAUUACAAGAGCUGUUGCAGAUGGAUUUUAGCCUGCAGCAUUUUGCAUAAUAUAUUGCAAGACUUUAACAAUGACGACGAUAAUAGCUGUGAUGGGGAAGAAAUUGAUUAUCCUCCAGAAAUUUAUGAACAACACGAAUUACGAAUUGCAUUGGCUGAAUUUAUUAAUAAUAGGAGCUCCCAAUAAAAGUUUCUAAGUGAUUUUUUUUUUAAUUUUUAGAACUAAAUGUGUUUUUUUUAACCAAAUACCAUUUAGUUGUAAAGACAAUUAUCUUAAUAUUUAAAGGAAGAGUUCCAAUGUAAUUAAUAAAUAGAGUAGUAAUUUUUGUUUAUAUCAUAUUCGUAGUGCUUUCUUGGUGUAUCCUCGGAAUGGGUUGAAAAUUGUAAAGUACAGAAAAUAAAAACCGCCAAAGAAUAUGUAGCAGUCUUUCCGACGACGUGUUUUUCUUUACGCUUGAUUUGCAAAACAGGUUUUUAUCAACACAGGCUUUAGUUAUUUAAAUUGAAUUAGUUUCGUAUAGAAAUCUAAACUUUACAAAUUUUCAGCGAAAUAUUCAACUUUUUAGUCGACAUUUUUAGCCUUUUUGGUAUGCAGUUCAAUAGCCUAUUAAAUUUUAUUGAUAUAAGAGAUGUUUAAUAUUUUUCUAAUGAAGGUGUUAUACAUGUUUUCUUCAUAUAACGCGAUUUAUUUUCUAUAUGGAAGAAAAUACUUAGCACCGCGAGAUUUUUAUUGCAUUAUUUUCAUUUUUUCCAUUUCAAUUCUUUCUUUCAUUUCCAGUUCUUUCAUAGCUAUUCUCUCCCUCAUUUGAAUUUCCAUAACUUGAAUUUCUCUGUCAGCUUUUUUUCUAGCAACUCUUUUUCAAAUUUUUCUUUAUCAAACAAAAAUUGUUGCUCUUUUAGCAUUAAUUCAUUUUCCCUCAUCUUAAAUUCCUUCUCGAUUCUGUCUUUUUUUUGCAUCCAAUAAGCUGGAGUGUACAUCGAGAACGUCUGAUAGGGCUGUACGCGAAUAUAUACCCUUUCGGACAGCCUUCGACGUAGAAGGGGUGACCAGAGACUCGGGUAAUGCCACGAUUUCCUCGACGGUUAUAUCAGAGGACGUGGCAACUUCUGGUGAACCAGUACAUGCAAUGUCCUCGGUAUCCAAUAUAAGGCAGUUUGAAGUGAGCUCCCUAUAGCCAAAAAUGUCUAAUGUUGGGCCGUUGGUUUCUCUAGUGGCCUGUUGUCCCUCAAAAAGUUGAUUAAACUUUCAUUUUCGUUGUCGGUCCACUUUCUGUAGGGAGCCUUUCGAACACGCUUAUGUACAUACAACCUGCAAUAGAACAAUUAUAGGCAGAAUAUUUUCAUAUUUAUAUUUAAAAAUAUUGCGAAUACCUUCUGUAUUUCUGUGUUGCUUUCCAUUUUUUCUAAACGCGAAUAGUCAGCUGAAGUUGCCAGUUUAGCAGGAAACAAAAACACGAAGUAAAGUAGAGUAAUUUUGCCUAAGACUGUUAUUUCGAACUUGUAUAGGAAACAACAACAAGCAAAGUUACCACGUGGUAAAAUGUUUUGAAGUUAACAGAUGGCAAAAUUAACACAUCAGAUAAUAAAGAACUGUGAACACCCUAAUUAUUUUAAAUAAUAAUUUCGUAACUUGUGAUUUCAAACUUUACUACCGAUACCUACCGACGAUGUAAAUGAUUAAUUUUAUGGGUAGAUUAAAAAUUAAAAUAAUUGUAAUAGUAUAAAUUAUUUUAAAUAUUAGAAUAAAAUUCUUACCGAGUAGACAUUGUCUACCUAUUUUCACAAUUAACUAAUUAAAUAUAUCCUCACUUGCAACAAACAACCAAUUCUUACAACAAUAAACUGCUAAUUGCUUGGUGAGUUCUUGCGUAAUACAAUAGUGGAGUUUUUCAUAUUAUAUGUAUAUACAAACUCGAAUCGGGGAUUCUCCAAGCAUCAGCAAGUAUUACCAACAUAAAUUUUAAGCAGUGUUGCCGUUUGAGAAAUAAAAAAAUACACCAAACUCAUUUCAAAAUUGCGCUAAAUUUUAGCUGUGAAUUUUUAAUGGCAAUAGGAGAAGAUGUGUUUUUAUGUGAAUUUAUUUAACCAUUAUUACAUUUAUCAAAAUCAACUAAAUUAAAUAACUGAAUAUCUUUCUGGUCAUCAUUACGUUCGGGUGCGGUUGGUGUGCCUUCUCCAGAUGCCGUUUCUUUUUUUACAGUUUUAGUCAUUUUCUUCAAACCGUGUUCAGGCAACAUAAAAGUGUGGCAAUUUUUCUUAAGAACUUUUAACUGAUGACGUAUCAUUAUAAUUGAACUCUGUUAGUAAAAUCAGAGACAGUCAUAACAUAACACUUUAAUGUAAAAAAGAGACAAAACAUUAAACGCAUCAAUAACAUUGUGAUCGGGGAAUACUAAAUCCUUUGGGGAAUUCCCAGCUCGUUAUUUUCCUAACGUUUUACGGCUAUAGCAAUUAACUUAUUGGCUUAAAUUUACGCUAUUUUUUAGCGCAUUGUAUUGAGAAAAAAAAGCGCUGAAGAGUCUAGAAUUGCGCUAUCUAGCGCGAAAUGCGCUAAAACGGCAAAACUGAUUUUAAUGUCGGCAGUAUACCUAGUCUCAGCGAGACACCCUGUGACAUGCCCAGUGGAUAUAAAUGUAAACCAAUAUACACAUUUUUGAGGUAUGUUUGUCCACACAUGUUUCCGAAAUUAUUACGAGUAAUUGGAUUUUGACCAUUCUUUCUAAAACUGGGUUAAAUUUUUUUUUUUACUAAUGCAUUGAAAGUUUAAUACCUAGGUAUAUUUUUUUUAGUUGUGUAUGCAACUAAGAAGGUAACAAAUAAAUUAAAGACAAAACUUUUUUUUUUACUUAAGUAAUGUGUAUGUGUAAUAAUAAAUGUUGGGAAUUGAGAUUUCCUCUGACCGGGGGCUCCUUCGGGCUGAGUGCCCGUGGCAUUUUGCCGACUUGCCACCCUAUAGUUACGCCACUGUAUGAGCCAAAAUAUUAUUAGCAAAAGCCGCUUACUUCAUUGGCGUCUGAUUUCAUUCACAGAAUUCAAGAGUUUAACUUUAUCCAUAAACUCUAACAAUUAUACUCUUUAUUACUAUGAGGGGUGUUUAUUCUUUGACCCUGCGGAAUCUUAUGUGACUGCAUCAAUUUCUUCAGAACGUGUGGACUGUUUCGCUGUACAUGAAAGAAAUGACAAGUGAGUGAUUUGCGUAUAUUUCCGGUUGAAAUGUUGCCAGUGUUGAUUAACCCUUGUCGUUUAUUUCCCCAGCCUUUGCACAUUUCGUAUUAUUUAAGCGUGUUUUCGAAUGUUUAAAUAAAUGAAUUAAAAAGUUUAACAGAAAAGUAUUUAGGGAUCAUGAAUAAUAUUGACAAGUUCCUCCCACAUAGCAAUAGGCACUUGAACGCACAACCACGAGGAUAAUGGAUGUUGGAUUCUUUUAAUUUGUUGUUGAUAAGCAUAAUACAUAUUUAGUUUUGAAAUACUUUGAAAUUAAAGAAUCAAAAAUCAAAUUUCGUAUAGAUAUCUCAUAAAAGAAAAUAGCUUUCCAUACAAGACCUUGCUUUUGAUUUGUAGUGGUCCGAUUUACCAUAAGCAAUUUCUAUGGCGAUCGCAUCCUUGCCUUCAGAACAGUCUAUCUAAAAUUUCAUAAAAAUACCUCAUCAAAUAAAAAAUUUACCCUACAAGGACUUAAGUUUGAGCGUUCAGUUUGUAUGGCAUCUAUAUGGUAUAGUAAUUCGAUGUCGGCGGUUACGACAAAUGAUCAGUUCCUUGGGAAUAAAAGGACAUGUGCAAAAUCUCAUAUUAAUAUCUCAACAACUGCUGUACUAGUAGUUUGCAUACAAAUAGACGGACAUGGCUAAAUUGAUGCAGCUCGCCACUCUGAUCGUUUAUAUACCAUAUUCUUUGUAGGUUAUUACAAACUUCAUGACAAAUUUAAUAUAAAACAAGUAAGGAAGUCACCGAACAUUUUAUUCUCCCGCAUGAUAAAGUGAUAAUCGGGAUUUCAUUAUCCGUCAUUUACAUAUUUUUUAUUUUGCUGUAAAAUUAAUUAGAUUAGAUCAAUUUGUGUACUUUGAGUAUUGACUUGUAUUUUCAUUUCCUAAUGUAUAUAUUAUACAGAGAAGGCAUCAGAUGGAAUUCAAAAUAGCGUUAUAUUGGAAGAAGGCGUGGUUGUGAACCGAUUUCACCCAUAUUUCGUACAUGUCAUCAGGGUCUUAAGAAAAUAUCAUAUACCGAAAUUCAUUGAAUUCGGUAGAGUAGUUCCUGAGAUAUGGUUCUUGGUCUAUAAGUGGGCGAGGCCACACCCAUUUUCAAUUUAAAAAAAAAAAACCUGGGUGCAGCUUCCUUCUGUUACUUCUUCCGUAAAAUUUAGUGUUUCUGACGUUUUUUGUUAGUCGGUUAACGCACUUUUAGUGAUUUUCAACAUAACCUUUGUAUGGGAGGUGGGCGUGGUUAUUAUCCGAUUUCCUCCCUUUUUGAACUGUAUAUGGAAAUGCCUGGAGGAAACGACUCUAUAGAGUUUGGUUGACAUAGCUAUAGCAGUUUCCGAGAUAUGUACAAAAAACUUAGUAGGGAGCGGGGCCACGCCCACUUUUCCAAAAAAAUUACUUCCAAAUCUGCCCCACCCCAAUGCGAUCCUUUGUGCCAAAUUUCACUUUAAUAUCUUUAUUUAUGGCUUAGUUAUGACACUUUAUAGGUUUUCGGUUUUCGCCAUUUUGUGGGCGAGUCAGUGGGCCGAUUUUGCCCAUCUUCGAACAUUCUAACCUUCUUAUGGAGCCAAGAAAUACGUGUACCAAGUUUCAAUAACAUAAGAUGCGUACAGAUAAACCUGCAGCACUCGAAGAGUGCUACAGCGAAUCUGACAACCCUCGUGAACGAGGGGGUCAUCGACAUCAGCCUAGUACAGGAGCCCUGGGUCAAUGAAGAUACCAUUAAAGGGCUAAACAGCAGCAACCAUAACCUGUUUUACACACGGAACAGAGCACAGCAGAUAUCACAGUGGUAAAGAUGGAACAGAAGGAAAUCCCCUUCUUUUCGGUCUCGGCCUACUUGGCCCAUGACGAAGACAUACCAACGGCCCCGCUCACCAGACUAGUAGAGGAGAACAGGAAGGAGGAUGUCCUAAUAGGGUGUGAUGCGAACGCAAGGCACACCGAAUGGGGUAGCUCCAGUAUAAACACCAGAGGUCAACGUCUGUUCUAUGGAGAAAUUUUGAAAUAUGUAGCUCCAGCAAUGCUUUUCUUUCUUCGAGGCGGCUUCUCCGACAACACUAUCAACAACAAAGUUGUAAUUUUGUAAAAUUAAAUAGUUAAGUUGCAGUAACCCAGUCGCACGUCGGGAGUAAGCGCAAUCAAUCAUAUUGUCUUUGACAACCACAGUCAAAAGCGAUAAAGAACAGCAUUGAAGUUGUCUGCAAGAUCAACAUCGAUAGCCGCAUUUUCGGUGUUAAGCACCUGAUUGCUGUUGGAUGCCGCAAAGCAACUUCGACGAACUGAACGAAUCGUGUAGCCGUCAGCAAAUGCAUACAGAAACAUAUUCAAAUUCGUAUAUAACAAGUAAGGAAGAGCUAAAUUCGAGUGUAACCGAACAUUUCAUACUCUUGCAACUUGCAAGGAUCAAAGACUUUAUAUUAAAAAGAAAAAUAAAAGAAUUCAACACUCAAUAUUCGACGAAAUGGUGACUGGAUUAGGUCAAAUUUGGUAUUUUAUUAAGUUAUAUUAUUGGUUAUAGAUUCAAUUAGUUUUACUGCAAUAAUUUUCUUCGUGUCAGCUAAUUUGAUUAAAAUCUAGUUCAAGUUUUUACCCAAUUUUAUCCAUUUAAAGCACAAUGAUGCACUGUUAGACUCUGUUAAAUUUAUUAAAAUAACUUAAAUAUUUGCUGAUAACUAUAUGUACAUAAUAUUAAGCAAGUCGGAAGUCCUAAAAUCUUUGUAUGAGGUUUAUGGCGGCUAAGGGAAUUAGUGAACCUCCCUUAAUUUCAAUUUUAUACCACACACCUUGAUCAAUAGUUUCGAUAAAAAGUCAGCCAAGGGUUCUAGAGCCACAUUUCCAGUAUCUGAGGCUGGAAUAAUUUUGAUCUGACUUUGUCAAUUUUUUGACUUGAGAUAAUAUACCUCAAAGGCAAUAUUCGUGAAAAGUUGUUUCCCUAUACAUAUAUUGGGUAGUCGACAAAGUCUUUUCGUUUCCAGUGCUACCAAUUACAUUGUGUCAUACCAUAUAGUGUUGCAAAGAUGAGUUUUAAGCUUCAUUUAACCAAAAAAUGAUUAAAUUCGGGGAAGUUAAAAAAAGUUACAGCUGUUCAAAAAUUAGUGAAAAUAAUGAAGAAAUUCGCUAUAUUUUGAAAUUUUUAUAUAAAAAAGGAAAGAAUGCCACGCAAGCACCCAAUGUAAUUUAUGAAGUUGACGGAAACGAUGCGGUGUCAGUUCGUGUAGCACAACAAUGAUCCGCUCGCUUCCGUUCUGGAAAUUUCGAUUUACACUGAUGAAAGUUUUACACUGAUGGCAUAAUGUUUCUAGCGGAAAAAUGGAAAAAAGAAAUCGACCAAAAUGACACAUAUUUGUUUAUUUAUUUAUUAUUAUAAAUAAAAAAAAAAACAAUUUGAAGUUUGAUUAGAAAGUCUGAUUUCGCCCAUUUUCGCACUGUGAUAUGGUAAAAAUAAUACUAUGUACCAAAUAUGGUUGAAAUUGGUCGAGUGGAUACCGAGAUAUGUAUGUGAUUUCACCUAAACAUGAGCGGUGCCAUUCCCGUUGUUCAAUUUUCCCAUCAGUCACCUCGUACCAUCCCGGAUAUAAAAUUUAAAGUCUCUGAGGCACUUAGUUGCAUUGUCGCAAGAGGUAUCGAAAUGAUUUGUACUGUGCAAAUUUGGGUAAUAUAGCUUCAAUGGUUUGGGUUAAAUACAUUAAACCUAAACCAUCGUGACGAUAUCUCAAUUUUACUCAAUUUACAGCAUACUCAAACAGACGGUCACUCGGAAUUCAACUCAUCUCGGUAUCUUGACUAUAGAAAAAUGACUGUACAUUUGUGAAUUUCAUCACCGUUAGAUGGCUGAACGAACGUGCGUACGCGUGUCAACUACGACCCUUGCGGAAAUCUCAAUUUCCUUGUCUGAUUCAAAAGCAGUUCGACUACAAAAAGAGCACAUCAAAGUCGAAAGGGCGCAGCUGCAAAGACAUAUAUACAAGAAGUGAUGUGAUUCAACCAUUCAACACCAACAAUCGUCACUUCCAUCGCCAUUGUGCCCACAACCAUUAUCAUUACUCCCACCAUCAAUCCACAUAAUCAUAAGCAGCAUCAUCGCAGCGAGGGACGACUUUAACCUGCUGCACUAUAGCCAACAGCACUAGCACCACGCCAUGCGGCACGUUUUUAGGAUUUUUUUUGGCCUUGGCAUCGAAAAUACUAUACGUCAGCUAUCACUUAUGAAUAUAUGUACAUUUGUAUAUUCUUACCGCCAAACGCUUGCGGAAACAUGUCGGGUGCACUAGAGCGAAGUGAUUUUAUUUUUUACUGGUUGCAAUAAAAAAGGUGGGCGCUACGAUGUAAUUAUACUAUAUUGGCAUCACACAAUUUUAGUAACUUA